GACGAACGCUGGCGGCGUGCUUAACACAUGCAAGUCGAACGGAGUGGCGAACGGGUGAGUAACACGUGGGUGAUCUGCCUUGCACUUCGGGAUAAGCUUGGGAAACUGGGUCUAAAACCGGAUAGUGCAAGAUGUGCGCGCGGCCUAUCAGCUUGUUGGUGGGGUAAUGGCCUACCAAGGCGUCGACGGGUAGCCGGCCUGGGAGGGUGUACGGCCACAUUGGGACUGAGAUACGGACCAGACUCCUACGGGAGGCAGCGGUGGGGAAUAUUGCACAAUGGGCGGGAGCCUGAUGCAGCGACGCCGCGUUUGGGAUGAAGUCCUUCGGGUUGUAAACUCCUUUCGACAGGGACGCGGUACCUGUAUAAGAAGCACCGGCUAACUACGUGCCAGCAGCCGCGGUAAUAC
rnacentral:rRNA from 1 species